ensembl:lncRNA
GGGAAACCCUCUUCAUUGUAUGAAGAGCCCAGCCCUUGUCAGCGCCCUCUUCCAGGUCCUCAGGGAGCCGCGCUUCCUCCCUGCGAAGGGGAGGGGCGGGCACGACUUGCCAGCAGGUCCCUGUCAUCCCUCCACCACCGGCACCCUUGCACCUCCCAGGCCUUCAACCCUCCAUUUCCACCCCAGGGCCGUCUUCUCCCCACUCACCCGCCUUCCCCGCCGCGCGAGAGCACCUCCCUGCCAAACGAACGGGGGAGGAGCGCGCGGGAGGGAGGCAGAGAGAGCGCCUCGGCCGUCCCGGGAGCGGACGGAGCCUCCCGUCCCAGGGCGGGAACCAAAGAGAAAGCCACCCGCUCGCGGGCGCUUAGCGGGAGCGGGUCCGGGCUGCAGAGCGCCCCCUCGCCGGGGCCGCGCGGGCUCCCAAGGCUGCAGGAGCCUCCCCGCGGGGCUCGGGUUCCGGGGGCUCCGGCACGCUCCGCCCGCACUGGGGGUGUGGGGUGUGCGGCCGUCCCAGGUGCCCGCGCCCGGCGCGCCCCACCCCGCCCUCCCGCCCGGCGCCCGCCGGCGCGCGCGCGCCCUCGCACCCACCGUGCAGAAGCCGCGGGCGGAGGCGGCGCCCCCGGGGCCAGGGCCCUGCUGCAGGCGCCGUGCCCGCUCAGCGCCUCUGCCUCCCGGCCGCCGAGCUCCGCCCGGUGCCCAGGCCCGUCCCGGCCCGGGAGCCGCCGCGGCGCCAGCCCAGCCGCCGCCGCCGCCGCCGCUGCAGCGCCCCCCCUCCGUCGCGGCCGCCGAGCGUCCCUCCCGCAGGCUGUGGCGGGCGGCGGGACGGGUUGCAUCAGCCCCGGCUAUAUAGCGGCCCCUGGGCGGCGGGGAGGGGUCGGGAAUGCGGAACCGGCCGGGCUGCCAGCUCCAGACGUCAGAGGGGGACGGAGAGGAAGGGAAGGAGGGGACAGGGGAGGACCGGGGGCGGGGGCGGUGUGCAUCGGGCGCUUCACACCCACUGACCUUCACCUCCCCGCCGCCUCUCGCGCCCUCCUCGCACCCACCGUGCAGAAGCCGCGGGCGGAGGCGGCGCCCCGGGCCAGGGCCCUGCUGCAGGCGCCGUGCCCGCUCAGCGCCUCUGCCUCCCGGCCGCCGAGCUCCGCCCGGUGCCCAGGCCCGUCGGCCCGGGAGCCGCCGCGGCGCCAGCCCAGCCGCCGCCGCCGCCGCCGCUGCAGCGCCCCCUCCGUCGCGGCCGCCGAGCGUCCCUCCCGCAGGCUGUGGCGGGCGGCGGGACGGGUUGCAUCAGCCCCGGCUAUAGCGGCCCCUGGGCGGCGGGAGGGUCGGGAAUGCGGAACCGGCCGGGCUGCCAGCUCCAGACGUCAGAGGGGACGGAGAGGAAGGGAAGGAGGGGACAGGGGAGGACCGGGGGCGGGGGGGCGGUGUGCAUCGGGCGCUUCACACCCACUGACCUUCACCUCCCCCGCCGCCUCUCGCGCCCUCCUCCCGCAGCUCUUCACGCUCAUCUCCCCCUGCGGGGGCGGCCCCGGCCCCGCAGCGCCUGCCCCGGCUCCAUCGCGGUCCACGCCCCCCCCCUCCCCCCAGGCUCUCCAAGCCCGCGCGGUGCAGGAGCGCGCGCGAGGAAGCAGGACGCGGCCGGGCGAUUAUGUAAGAGCAUCCCCCGCGCACCGCCGCCCGGCUUCCACCGCGAGACACGAGCUCUGGCCCGGAGAGCCGAGGAGGCUGCGGCGGGACAAGUCCAGAGCCCCUUGGAGAGCAGACGUAGCCUGUGUUGAACCAUCUUCCUCAAUCCUUAGCUCUUUUUUUUUUUUUUUCCCAAACCGAGAGAGAGAGAGAGAGAGAGAGAUUUCAACACAUUUUCAUCCUUGGACACUUCAGCACUGAGUGAGGAAAUAUCUCGCAAGCCUGCUUCAUUUUCUAUAGAAGGAUGGGCAGAGGACCAAGGCGUUUGUUGGGUGCUUCUCCCCCCGACCCACUAGCCCACUUGGCCACUUCAGCUGUCCUUAAGCCCCAGGGUGGUGGUUCAGUGCUAGAGACCUGCCUUCCUUGGGCAGCAACCUGAGCCCCUUUCCCUGUCCCAGUGGCUCACACAGUUUGCCCCCUAGUCUUUUCCGCCCAGGGACACUCCUGUGAGCAGCCCAGCCCUCAGCCCACCCCAAAUGGCCUUCUUCCCCAUGACAACUUCCAUUGCCAACUAGACUCCUACCUGCAUCCUCCUAGAGUGGCAGAUGGUUAAGGGUGACUCCAGAGGAAAUGUGUCCUCUCCGGUGCCUUCAGUGUAUAAAGGCACAGAGACUCUGAGCCCUCAAGCACACAUGUGGCGCCCAAGCCCUUGGCAUCGUGGUUUCUGUCCCCUUCCUCCAGACCCCUGGGUGCUCACUCAACCCUCUGCCUUUCUGCCUCAGCCAGUGAGGAGUGACAGUGUUUAUAUUCGGUGACCUUCAGCCUCUUUCUCAGGGUGAUGUCAGAUCAUCACCCACAGAAGAAAGGAAGUGAAAGAAAAAGUUCAUGCCUUCUUGGAGUGCAGAUGCUCAGAGCGAAAGAAACAACAAGCCUUGAGACAGAUGGGAGCAAGCGAGCAGAGCCCAGCGAGCAGGUCUCUUCAACAGGAGGACAGUGAGGUCCUAUUCUCCUUAUGGCCCAGGUGCAGGAAAGUAUUUCUGGAUCAGAGGACUGGUGUUAUGGCAGGAAAGACAGAGCAAAUCCCCAUGACACU